GACGAACGCUGGCGGCGUGCUUAACACAUGCAAGUCGAAAGAGUGGCGAACUGGUGAGUAAUACGUGGGUAACCUGCCCUUUUUGUGGGCUAAGCCAUGGCAAUGGGGUCUAAUAACGUCUAAAGGGGGAUGGGCUGGCGGCCUAUCAGCUUGUUGGUGGGGUGAUGGCCUACCAAGGCGGUGACGGGUAGCCGGCCGGAGAGGGUGACUGGCCCAAUUGGGAGUGGGAUACGGCCCAGACUCGUACGAGGGGCAGAUGUGGGGAAUAGUGCACAAGGGGCGAAAGCCUGAUGCAGCGACGCAGCGUGGGGGAUGAAGGCGUUCGGGUUGUAACCCUCUGUCGCUAUCGAACGGGUAGGUGGAGAAGAUGCGCCGGCUAACUACGUGCCAGCCGCCGCGGUAAUUC
rnacentral:rRNA from 1 species